GGCGAGUGAAGCGGCAACAGCUCAAAUUUGAAAGCUGGCCUUCGGGUCCGCAUUGUAAUUUGUAGAGGAUGCUUUGGGGCAGCCGCCUGUCUAAGUUCCUUGGAACAGGACGUCAUAGAGGGUGAGAAUCCCGUAUGUGACAGGACAUGGCACCCUAUGUAAAGCUCCUUCGACGAGUCGAGUUGUUUGGGAAUGCAGCUCUAAAUGGGAGGUAAAUUUCUUCUAAAGCUAAAUAUUGGCGAGAGACCGAUAGCGCACAAGUAGAGUGAUCGAAAGAUGAAAAGCACUUUGGAAAGAGAGUUAAAAAGCACGUGAAAUUGUUGAAAGGGAAGCGCUUGCAAUCAGACUUGUUUAAACUGUUCGGCCGGUCUUCUGACCGGUUUACUCAGUUUGGACAGGCCAGCAUCAGUUUCGGCGGCCGGAUAAAGGCUCUGGGAAUGUGGCCUCCACUUCGGUGGAGGUGUUAUAGCCCAGGGUGUAAUACGGCCAGCCGGGACUGAGGUCCGCGCUUCGGCUAGGAUGCUGGCGUAAUGGUUGUAAGCGACCCGUCUUGA
rnacentral:rRNA from 1 species